rnacentral:rRNA from 1 species
GGCGGACGGGUGAGUAACGCGUAAGAACUUGCCCUUUAGACUGGGAUAACGGAGGGAAACUUCUGAUAAUACUGGAUAAGUUAGUAUAUCGCAUGAUAUGCAAAUGAAAGCUACGGCACUAAAGGAGAGCUUUGCGUCCUAUUAGCUAGUUGGUAAGGUAAGAGCUUACCAAGGCGAUGAUAGGUAGCCGGCCUGAGAGGGUGGACGGCCACAAGGGGACUGAGAUACGGCCCUUACUCCUACGGGAGGCAGCAGCU